rnacentral:rRNA from 1 species
UACGAAGGGGGCAAGCGUUGUUCGGAAUUACUGGGCGUAAAGGGCGCGUAGGCGGCCGAUCACGUCAGGCGUGAAAUUCCCGGGCUCAACCUGGGGGCUGCGCUUGAUACUGAUUGGCUUGAAUGCGGGAGAGGAUAGUGGAAUUCCCAGUGUAGAGGUGAAAUUCGUAGAUAUUGGGAAGAACACCGGUGGCGAAGGCGGCUAUCUGGCCCGUAAUUGACGCUGAGGCGCGAAGGCGUGGGGAGCAAACAGG